CAAGCCUCUCAGAUUCCCAUGUAAAAAUCAAAAGCUUUGCAGACAAGCAAAAGCUAAAAGAAUUCAGCACAACCAGAGCAGUUUUGCAACAAAUCGUAAAGGAAUUUCUCUAUGCAAGAAAGAAA